rnacentral:tRNA from 1 species
GCAGCGUGUAGCCGAGUGCGCGCGGGCCGGCUCGCGUUCGGCCAGCGCCUCGCGUGGGUUCAGGUCGCGGGCGCCGCGC